rnacentral:rRNA from 1 species
GUGGAGCAAUCCAUGAGUAAAGUGGCGACCGGGUGAGUAACACGUGACUAACCUACCCUCGAGUGUGGAAUAACAUCGGGAAACCGAUGCUAAUACCGCAUAACAUCGCAAGAUCAAAGGAGAAAUCCGCUUGAGGAGGGGGUCGCGGCUGAUUAGCUAGUUGGCGGGGUAACGGCCCACCAAGGCGAAGAUCGGUAGCCGGCCUGAGAGGGCGCACGGCCACACUGGAACUGAAACACGGUCCAGACUCCUACGGGAGGCAGCAGUGGGGAAUUUUGCGCAAUGGGGGAAACCCUGACGCAGCAACGCCGCGUGGAGGAUGAAGCCCCUUGGGGCGUAAACUCCUUUCGACCAAGACGAUAAUGACGGUACUGGUGGAAGAAGCACCGGCUAACUCUGUGCCAGCAGCCGCGGUAAUACAGAGGGUGCAAGCGUUGUUCGGAAUUAUUGGGCGUAAAGGGCGCGUAGGCGGCGCGGUAAGUCACCUGUGAAAUCUCUGGGCUUAACUCAGAGCCUGCAGGCGAAACUGCCGUGCUGGAGUAUGGGAGAGGUGCGU